AACGAACGCUGGCGGCAUGCCUAACACAUGCAAGUCGAACGAGACCUUCGGGUCUAGGGGCGCACGGGUGCGUGAGGCGUGGGAACCUGCCCUUAGGUUCCGAAUAACUCCCCGAAAGGGGAGCUAAGACAGGAGGAUGUCUUCGGGGCAAAGAUUUAUCGCCGUUGGCUGGGCGCGGGUUCGUUUAGCUGGUUGGUAGGGUAAAAGCCUACCAAGGCCAGGAUCCAUGGCUGGUCGGAGAGGAGGCCCCGGCACGCUUGGACUGAGACCCGGCCCAGUCGCCUACGCGAGGCAGCAGUGGGGAGUAUUGGGCGCUGGGCGAAAGUCUGAUCCAGCCAUGCCGCGUGAGUCGUCCAGGCCUUAGGAUUGCACAGCUCUUUUUGCCGGGAUGAUAAUGACAGUACCGGGAGAAUAAGCACCGGCUAACUCCGUG
rnacentral:rRNA from 1 species